rnacentral:rRNA from 1 species
UACGUAGGGGGCAAGCGUUGUCCGGAUUUAUUGGGCGUAAAGCGCUCGCAGGUGGUUCGUCGCGUCGUGCGUGAAAGACCCCGGCUCAACUGGGGGGCGUCGUGCGAAACGGGCGGACUGGAGGCCAGUAGGGGGAUGCGGAAUUCCGGGUGUAGUGGUGGAAUGCGUAGAGAUCCGGAGGAACACCAGUGGCGAAGGCGGCUUCCUGGCCUGUAACUGACGCUGAGACGCGAAAGCGUGGGGAGCGAACCGG